AGAUAAGUGGGUUGCCAACACAAUCUUCAAUCUUCCUAUGAAGAUUAAAGCACCUUGCUCCAACUAGAGAGCAGAUGGGGGAGGCACAGGUGAGUCUACUCUUCGGAUUCCAUACAUUUCAUGGUGACAUGGUGACAAGGGACCACUCUCAUUAAGUGAUCAGGUGAGACUCAAUAAAUCUAGUCUCUAAGAAAAUCAGUCCUGGUAUAUUUCAAAUUCCAGAAGACGCCUGACAAAGGUGAGAAAAACACUCGUUUGCAACUGUGAGCAUUUUGUGCUAAGGAACAACAGGGCAUAGUGAGUAAAAAAGCAUGGCCUUCAACGUGGAAGGAGUCUGAAUCCCAGUUCUGCCGUUUACCAGCUGUGGGACCUCGGACAAGUUACUCAUCAUCUCCCUGACGGUUUCAUCAUUUAAAAAGUGAAAAAUAGCGUUUCCUCAUAAGGCUGUAGUGAAGAUUAAAUGAGUUAAUACUGGGAAAUGGCUUAGAACAGUGCCUGGCACAGAGUAAUUUGCAUAAAAAGGAGAAGAAAUCUGUAGGAUUUCUCCUGACACCAGGAUGGUCUCCACAGAUGCCUUGGCCCGUGCCACAGCCUACACCAACCCCCAAAUGGAAAUUUUUACUAGUAACUUCCUCCUGCAGAUUUUACAACCUCCUCUGGCAAACCCAUGAGGGCACUAAGCAAUGCUAGGAGUCUUUUUUUCUCUAUCCCAUAUGUUGGGCAAGUCAUGAAUUCCUUAAGUACUUAUUCUGAAAUGAUAGACUACAUUUCAAUAAUCAUUUUAUUAGUUACAGAAGAAUCUCAACUAGUAUUUACAUAGUGCAAAAAAGCUGUUAUUACCCCUAAAAUGUGAUAUAACAAUUAUCCUUCAAACAA